rnacentral:rRNA from 1 species
AGAAUCAACGCUGGCGGCGUGCCUAACACAUGCAAGUCGAACGAGAAAGUGGAGCAAUCCAUGAGUAAAGUGGCGCACGGGUGAGUAACACGUGACUAACCUACCCUUGAGUGGGGGAUAACCUCGGGAAACCGGGGCUAAUACCGCAUAACAUCGAGAGAUCAAAGGAGCAAUUCGCUUAAGGAGGGGGUCGCGGCUGAUUAGCUAGUUGGUGAGGUAAUGGCUCACCAAGGCUAUGAUCAGUAUCCGGCCUGAGAGGGCGCACGGACACACUGGAACUGAAACACGGUCCAGACUCCUACGGGAGGCAGCAGUGGGGAAUUUUGCGCAAUGGGGGAAACCCUGACGCAGCAACGCCGCGUGGAGGAUGAAGUCCCUGGGACGUAAACUCCUUUCGAUCGGGACGAUAAUGACGGUACCGGAAGAAGAAGCCCGGCUAACUUCGUGCCAGCAGCCGC